rnacentral:rRNA from 1 species
GAUGAACGCUGGCGGCGUGCCUAAUACAUGCAAGUCGAGCGAACGGACGAGAAGCUUGCUUCUCUGAUGUUAGCGGCGGACGGGUGAGUAACACGUGGAUAACCUACCUAUAAGACUGGGAUAACUUCGGGAAACCGGAGCUAAUACCGGAUAAUAUUUUGAACCGCAUGGUUCAAAAGUGAAAGACGGUCUUGCUGUCACUUAUAGAUGGAUCCGCGCUGCAUUAGCUAGUUGGUAAGGUAACGGCUUACCAAGGCAACGAUGCAUAGCCGACCUGAGAGGGUGAUCGGCCACACUGGAACUGAGACACGGUCCAGACUCCUACGGGAGGCAGCAGUAGGGAAUCUUCCGCAAUGGGCGAAAGCCUGACGGAGCAACGCCGCGUGAGUGAUGAAGGUCUUCGGAUCGUAAAACUCUGUUAUUAGGGAAGAACAUAUGUGUAAGUAACUGUGCACAUCUUGACGGUACCUAAUCAGAAAGCCACGGCUAACUACGUGCCAGCAGCCGCGGUAAUACGUAGGUGGCAAGCGUUAUCCGGAAUUAUUGGGCGUAAAGCGCGCGUAGGCGGUUUUUUAAGUCUGAUGUGAAAGCCCACGGCUCAACCGUGGAGGGUCAUUGGAAACUGGAAAACUUGAGUGCAGAAGAGGAAAGUGGAAUUCCAUGUGUAGCGGUGAAAUGCGCAGAGAUAUGGAGGAACACCAGUGGCGAAGGCGACUUUCUGAUCUGUAACUGACGCUGGUGUGCGAAAGCGUGGGGAUCAAACAGGAUUAGAUACCCUGGUAGUCCACGCCGUAAACGAUGAGUGCUAAGUGUUAGGGGGUUUCCGCCCCUUAGUGCUGCAGCUAACGCAUUAAGCACUCCGCCUGGGGAGUACGACCGCAAGGUUGAAACUCAAAGGAAUUGACGGGGACCUGCACAAGCGGUGGAGCAUGUGGUUUAAUUCGAAGUAACGCGAAGAACCUUACCAAAUCUUGACAUCCUUUGACAACUCUAGAGAUAGAGCUUUCCCCUUCGGGGGACAAAGUGACAGGUGGUGCAUGGUUGUCGUCAGCUCGUGUCGUGAGAUGUUGGGUUAAGUCCCGCAACGAGCGCAACCCUUAAGCUUAGUUGCCAUCAUUAAGUUGGGCACUCUAAGUUGACUGCCGGUGACAAACCGGAGGAAGGUGGGGAUGACGUCAAAUCAUCAUGCCCCUUAUGAUUUGGGCUACACACGUGCUACAAUGGACAAUACAAAGGGCAGCGAAACCGCGAGGUCAAGCAAAUCCCAUAAAGUUGUUCUCAGUUCGGAUUGUAGUCUGCAACUCGACUACAUGAAGCUGGAAUCGCUAGUAAUCGUAGAUCAGCAUGCUACGGUGAAUACGUUCCCGGGUCU